AGGAUAAACGCUGGCGGCGUGCCUAACACAUGCAAGUCGAACGUCUCUUUCUUCGGGAAGAGGAGUGGCGGACGGGUGAGGAACACGUGGGAACCUGCCCUUUAGUGAGGAAUACCGGCGAGAAAUCGCCGACAAGACCGCAUAGCCCUCUUUGAUGAGAGUCAAAGAAGGAAAGCUUCGCAAGAGGCGCUAGAGGAGGGGCCUGCGUCCGAUUAGCUAGUUGGUGGGGUAAGAGCCUACCAAGGCGUCGAUCGGUAGCUGGUCUGAGAGGACGAUCAGCCACACUGGGAUUGAGAACGGCCCAGACUCCUACGGGGGCAGCAGUGAGGAAUUUUCGGCAAUGGGGGAAACCCUGACCGAGCAACGCCGCGUGCAGGAAGACGGCCUUCGGGUUGUAAACUGCUUUUCUUUGGGAAGAGAACGGACGGUACCAGAGGAAUCAGCCCCGGCUCACUACGUGCCAGCAGCCGC
rnacentral:rRNA from 1 species